rnacentral:rRNA from 1 species
CCUACGGGAUGCUGCAGUGAGGAAUAUUGGUCAAUGGACGGAAGUCUGAACCAGCCAUACCGCGUGCAGGAAGACGGCUCUAUGAGUUGUAAACUGCUUUUGUACAAGGGUAAACCUGCAUACGUGUAUUCAGCUGAACGUACUGUACGAAUAAGGAUCGGCUAACUCCGUUCCAGCAGCCGCGGUAAUACGGAGGAUCCAAGCGUUAUCCGGAUUUAUUGGGUUUAAAGGGUGCGUAGGCGGAUUGAUAAGUUAGAGGUGAAAUGUCCGAGCUUAACUCGGGAACUGCCUCUAAUACUGUUGAGCUAGAGAGUAGAUGCGGUAGGCGGAAUGUAUGGUGUAGCGGUGAAAUGCUUAGAGAUCAUACAGAACACCGAUUGCGAAGGCAGCUUACCAAGCUAUAUCUGACGUUGAGGCACGAAAGCGUGGGGAGCAAACAGGAUUAGAUACCCGAGUAGUC